UUUGGUCAUAUCAAUAAGCGGAGGAAAAGAAACCAACAGGGAUUGCCCCAGUAAUGGCGAAUGAAGCGGCAAGAGCCCAAAUUUGAAAUCGGGCAACCGAGUUGUAAUUUGGAGACGGGACACUAGAGAGGAGGAAGGCGAUUAAGUGCCUUGGAACAGGCUGCCGUAGAGGGUGAGAGCCCCGUGAAUCGCUGGAGACCGAUCAAUUAGUGCCCGCCGAAGAGUCGAGUUGUUUGGGAAUAAAGA
rnacentral:rRNA from 1 species